CGUGCCUAAUACAUGCAAGUCGAGCGAACGGGCGAGAAGCUUGCUUCUCUGAUGUUAGCGGCGGACGGGUGAGUAACACGUGGAUAACCUACCUAUAAGACUGGGAUAACUUCGGGAAACCGGAGCUAAUACCGGAUAAUAUCUUGAACCGCAUGGUUCAAAAGUGAAAGACGGUCUUGCUGUCACUUAUAGAUGGAUCCGCGCUGCAUUAGCUAGUUGGUAAGGUAACGGCUUACCAAGGCAACGAUGCAUAGCCGACCUGAGAGGGUGAUCGGCCACACUGGAACUGAGACACGGUCCAGACUCCUACGGGAGGCAGCAGUAGGGAAUCUUCCGCAAUGGGCGAAAGCCUGACGGAGCAGCGCCGCGUGAGUGAUGAAGGUCUUCGGAUCGUAAAACUCUGUUAUUAGGGAAGAACAUAUGUGUAAGUAACUGUGCACAUCUUGACGGUACCUAAUCAGAAAGCCACGGCUAACUACGUGCCAGCAGCCGCGGUAAUACGUAGGUGGCAAGCGUUAUCCGGAAUUAUUGGGCGUAAAGCGCGCGUAGGCGGUUUUUUAAGUCUGAUGUGAAAGCCCACGGCUCAACCGUGGAGGGUCAUUGGAAACUGGAAAACUUGAGUGCAGAAGAGGAAAGUGGAAUUCCAUGUGUAGCGGUGAAAUGCGCAGAGAUAUGGAGGAACACCAGUGGCGAAGGCGACUUUCUGGUCUGUAACUGACGCUGAUGUGCGAAAGCGUGGGGAUCAAACAGGAUUAGAUACCCUGGUAGUCCACGCCGUAAACGAUGAGUGCUAAGUGUUAGGGGGUUUCCGCCCCUUAGUGCUGCAGCUAACGCA
rnacentral:rRNA from 1 species